AUGAGAAGACAUCAGCAAGUGGAGAGAAAUGUACAGGCAAUCAAAAGAGAGUAUAGAAGAAUUUUGUUGGAAACUGAUGGUAGAGCAGAUAUGGAACAGGAUCACCAGGAGGGGAUGAUUUUAAGGCAGAACCAGGAAGGGAAUUACAAGCUCUAUCAAUUGCCAUGCUCGUAG
rnacentral:lncRNA from 1 species